GACGAACGCUGGCGGCGUGCCUAACACAUGCAAGUCGAGCGGAAAGGCCCUUCGGGGUCCUCGAGCGGCGAACGGGUGAGUAACACGUGAGUAACCUGCCCCAGACUUUGGGAUAACCCUCGGAAACGGGGGCUAAUACCGGAUACGACACAGCUUCGCAUGGGGUCUGUGUGGAAAGUUUUUCGGUUUGGGAUGGGCUCGCGGCCUAUCAGCUUGUUGGUGGGGUGAUGGCCUACCAAGGCGACGACGGGUAGCCGGCCUGAGAGGGCGACCGGCCACACUGGGACUGAGACACGGCCCAGACUCCUACGGGAGGCAGCAGUGGGGAAUAUUGCACAAUGGGCGGAAGCCUGAUGCAGCGACGCCGCGUGAGGGAUGACGGCCUUCGGGUUGUAAACCUCUUUCAGCAGGGACGAAGCGUAAGUGACGGUACCUGCAGAAGAAGCGCCGGCCAACUACGUG
rnacentral:rRNA from 1 species